rnacentral:rRNA from 1 species
UACGAAGGGGGCUAGCGUUGCUCGGAAUCACUGGGCGUAAAGGGCGCGUAGGCGGAUCUUUAAGUCAGGGGUGAAAGCCCAAGGCUCAACCUUGGAAUUGCCUUUGAUACUGAGGAUCUCGAGACCGGAAGAGGUAAGUGGAACUGCGAGUGUAGAGGUGAAAUUCGUAGAUAUUCGCAAGAACACCAGUGGCGAAGGCGGCUCACUGGCCCGGUACUGACGCUGAGGUGCGAAAGCGUGGGGAGCAAACAGG